AAGAGAGAGAUUAUGACACAAAGACAGAAAGAGAAAGAAGGACAAAUAUUUUUCUCUCUUGCGUGUUCUUAGUCUUCUCUGAUCUCCUUCUACCCCUCC
rnacentral:ribozyme from 1 species